GAUGAAGAACGCAGCGAAAUGCGAUACGUAGUGUGAAUUGCAGAAUUCAGUGAAUCAUCGAAUCUUUGAACGCACAUUGCACCUCUCGGUAUUCCGGGAGGUAUGCCUGUUCGAGCGUCAUUUGUACCCUCAAGCUCUGCUUGGUGUUGGGUGUUUGUUCCGCCUCUGUGUGUGAACUCGCCUCAAAACAAUUGGCAGCCGGCGUACUUGUUUCGGAGCGCAGCACAUUUUGCGAUCCAGAUCAACGUACAGCGGCAUCCAAGAAGCCUUAUUUAACGCUCUUGACCUCGGAUCAGGUAGGGAAACCCGCUGAACUUAAGCAUAUCAAUAAGCGGAGGA
rnacentral:misc_RNA from 1 species